GAUGAACGCUGGCGGCGUGCUUAACACAUGCAAGUCGAACGAAGCAUUUAGAACAGAUUACUUCGGUUUGAAGUUCUUUAUGACUGAGUGGCGGACGGGUGAUUACCUCGUGGGUAACCUGCCUUUUACUGGGGGAUAGCAGCUGGAAACGGCUGGUAAUCCCGCAUAAGCGCCCAAUGUUGCUUGACCUGGUGUGAAAACCUCCGGUGGGUUAAGAUGGCCCCGCUUCGGUUUAGAGUUUGGGGGAGUUCACAGCCCACCAAGGCGACGAUCAUUAGCCGAGCGGAGAGGGGGACACGGCACAAUGGGAAUGAGGCACGGACCAGAAUCCUACGGGAGGGAGGAGUGGGGAAUAUUGCAAAAUGGAGGAAAAUCUGAUGCAGCGACGCCGGGGGAGUGAAGAAGUAAUUCGUUAUGUAAAGCUCUAUGAGCAGGGAAGAUAGUGACGGUACCUGACUAAGAAGCUCCGGCUAAAUACGUG
rnacentral:rRNA from 1 species